UCGGAUUGCAGUCUGCAACUCGACUGCACGAAGCUGGAAUCGCUAGUAAUCGCGGAUCAGUACGCCGCGGUGAAUACGUUCCCGGGCCUUGUACACACCGCCCGUCACACCAUGGAAGUCUCGCAAUGCCCGAAGCCGGUGGCCUAACCACUUAUGUGGAAGGAGCCGUCUAAGGCAGGGCAGAUGACUGGGGGUGAAGUCGUAACAAGGUAGC
rnacentral:rRNA from 1 species